AACGAACGCUGGCGGCAUGCCUAACACAUGCAAGUCGAACGUGAUCCGGGGCUUGCUCCGGUGAAAGUGGCGGACGGGUGAGUAACGCGUGGGAACCUGCCCUUUGGUCGGGGAUAACUGCGGGAAACUGCGGCUAAUACCCGAUGCACCCGAGAGGGGAAAGAUUUAUCGCCGAAGGAUGGGCCCGCGUCGGAUUAGGUAGUUGGUGAGGUAAUGGCUCACCAAGCCGACGAUCGGUAGCUGGUCUGAGAGGAUGAUCAGCCACACUGGGACUGAGAUACGGCCCAGACUCCUACGGGAGGCAGCAGUGGGGAAGUAUUGGACAAUGGGGGCGAACCCUGAUCCAGCAAUGCCGCGUGAGUGAUGAAGGCCUUAGGGUUGUAAAGCUCUUUUGUCCAGGGAAGAUGAUGACUGUAACGGGAGAAUAAGCUCCGGCUAACUUCGUG
rnacentral:rRNA from 1 species